GAUGAACGCUGGCGGCGUGCCUAAUACAUGCAAGUCGAGCGAACAGACGAGGAGCUUGCUCCUUUGACGUUAGCGGCGGACGGGUGAGUAACACGUAGGUAACCUACCUAUAAGACUGGGAUAACUUCGGGAAACCGGAGCUAAUACCGGAUAAUAUUUCGAACCGCAUGGUUCGAUAGUGAAAGAUGGCUUUGCUAUCACUUAUAGCUGGACCUGCGCCGUAUUAGCUAGUUGGUAAGGUAACGGCUUACCAAGGCAACGAUACGUAGCCGACCUGAGAGGGUGAUCGGCCACACGGGAACUGAGACACGGUCCAGACUCCUACGGGAGGCAGCAGUAGGGAAUCUUCCGCAAUGGGCGAAAGCCUGACGGAGCAACGCCGCGUGAGUGAUGAAGGUCUUCGGAUCGUAAAACUCUGUUAUUAGGGAAGAACAAACGUGUAAGUAACUGUGCACGUCUUGACGGUACCUAAUCAGAAAGCCACGGCUAACUACGUG
rnacentral:rRNA from 1 species